rnacentral:rRNA from 1 species
UACGUAGGAUGCAAGCGUUGUCCGGAAUUAUUGGGCGUAAAGAGCGCGCAGGCGGUCUGCCAAGUCAGAUGUGAAAGAGGCCGGCUUAACCGGCAAGGGUCAUUUGAAACUGACAGACUAGAGUGCAGCAGAGGAUAGCGGAAUUCCCGGUGUAGUGGUGAAAUGCGUAGAUAUCGGGAGGAACACCAGUGGCGAAGGCGGCUCACUGGCCCGAUACUGACGCUGAGGCACGAAAGCGUGGGGAGCAACAGG